rnacentral:rRNA from 1 species
CAGCAGCCGCGGUAAUACGUAGGGUGCGAGCGUUAAUCGGAAUUACUGGGCGUAAAGCGUGCGCAGGCGGUUGUGUAAGACAGGUGUGAAAUCCCCGGGCUUAACCUGGGAACUGCGCUUGUGACUGCACAGCUAGAGUAUGGCAGAGGGGGGUGGAAUUCCGCGUGUAGCAGUGAAAUGCGUAAAGAUGUGGAGGAACACCGAUGGCGAAGGCAGCCCCCUGGGCCAAUACUGACGCUCAUGCACGAAAGCGUGGGGAGCAAACAGGAUUAGAUACCCGCGUAGUCCCUGUCUCUUAUAC